ACUUCACCCUUGUCUAAGCAAUACCUACAGUUUAUCUUUCAUCUUAUAGCUCUUCUUGUCUAGCUACAAGUGUCUCUCAUUAUUAAUAUCUCAAUUCCCAAUUGUUUCAUGAGCCACACCCACUUCUCCAAAUGGGUGGGUGGCUUCACUCGCUCUUCUCUCCUUUGAAGAAGCUCUGGUUUCGCCUCCAUUCUGCUCAAAAAAAAAGAAGAGGGAUAUACAUUCUGUAUGAGGAUGUAAAAUCAUGCCCCUACGAGGAUGUGCAUGUUUUGUGGUCGAUACUAGUGGAGUCACAUACACAUACAUUGCCUUCUUUGCCAGCUCCUAAAGCUUGAAGGCUGUAUACGACAGAUUCCCAGCUUCCACGUAUACAGUAUUUAUACAUGUAUUUUAAUACUCUGUGUUCAAUGUAAAAAGGUGUUUUCCUACUUUUUUGGUUCUUAAUUUACCUGUAAAUGUAUUGCACUAAAAUAUGGCUUUCAUAUAUAUAGGAGUUUUUGUGUGGUUCCCAAUCUGAUUUA